rnacentral:rRNA from 1 species
CAGGCCUAAUACAUGCAAGUCGGACGGUAAGCGCCCCUUCGGGGGUGCGAGAGUGGCGGACGGGUGCGCAACGCGUAUGCAACCCACCCCCCUCCGGCGGACAGCCGGUGGAAACGCCGGGCAAUCCGCCAUGGGUCCUUUUGGGGGCAUCCCCUGGAGGGCAAAGCGGCGACGCGGGGGGGGACGGGCAUGCGUCCCAUUAGAUAGCAGGCGGGGUGACGGCCCACCUGGUCGACGAUGGGUAGGGGAUCUGAGAGGACGGUCCCCCACACUGGCACUGAGACACGGGCCAGACUCCUGCGGGAGGCAGCAGUAAGGGAUAUUGGGCAAUGGGGGCAACCCUGACCCAGCCAUGCCGCGUGAGGGAAUGAGGCCCUUCGGGUCGUGAACCUCUUUUGCCCGGGGACAAGGGCGCGGUCGGGAACUGCGCUUGAGGGUACCGGGAGAAUAAGCGUCGGCUAACUCCGUGCCAGCAGCCGCGGUAAUACGGAGGACGCGAGCGUUAUCCGGAUUCAUUGGGUUUAAAGGGUGCGCAGGCGGCUCGGCAAGUCAGCGGUGAAAGCCCGGGGCCCAACCCCGGAAGUGCCGUUGAUACUGUCGGGCUGGAAUGCGGUCGGGGCGGGCGGAACGUGGCGUGUAGCGGUGAAAUGCGUAGAUAUGCCACAGAACGCCGUCGGCGGAGGCGGCUCGCCAGGCCUGCAUUGACGCUCGGGCACGAAAGCGUGGGGAUCGAGCAGGAUUAAAUACCCUGGUAGUCACGCCGUAAACGAUGGGCGCUCGUCUUCGGCG